GGCCGAUUGGCGGAACUGGUAGACGCGCACGACUCAAAAUCGUGUCCCGCAAGGGGUUUCAGUUCGACUCUGAAAUCGGCCA
rnacentral:tRNA from 1 species